GUAGGGAAUAUUGCGCAAUGGACGAAAGUCUGACGCAGCGACGCCGCGUGAGUGAUGAAGGCCUUAGGGUCGUAAAGCUCUGUUGAAUGGGAAGAAAAAAAUGACGGUACCAUUCGAGGAAGGACCGGCUAACUUCGUGCCAGCAGCCGCGGUAAUACGAGGGGUCCUAGCGUUGUUCGGAAUCAUUGGGCGUAAAGGGUGUGUAGGUGGCCAUGUAAGUCAGGUGUGAAAGCCCCGGGCUCAACCCGGGAAGUGCACUUGAUACUGCGUGGCUUGGGUACCGAAGAGGGUAGUGGAAUUCCAGGUGUAGUGGUGAAAUACGUAGAUAUCUGGAGGAACACCGGUGGCGAAGGCGGCUACCUGGUCGAGUACUGACACUGAGACACGAAAGCAUGGGGAUCAAACAGGAUUAGAUACCCCAGUAGUCC
rnacentral:rRNA from 1 species